AUUGAACGCUGGCGGCAGGCUUAACACAUGCAAGUCGAGCGAGCGGCGGACGGGUGAGUAAUGUCUGGGGAUCUGCCUGAUGGAGGGGGAUAACUACUGGAAACGGUGGCUAAUACCGCAUACUAUCGGAUGAACCCAUAUGGGAUUAGCUAGUAGGUGGGGUAAAGGCUCACCUAGGCGACGAUCUCUAGCUGGUCUGAGAGGAUGACCAGCCACCCUGGGACUGAGACACGGUCCAGCCUCCUACGGGAGGCAGCAGUGGGGAAUAUUGCACAAUGGGCGCAAGCCUUAUGCAGCCAUGCCGCGUGUGUGAAGAAGUCCUUCGGGUUGUAAAGUACUUUCAGCGGGGAGGCGUUACCCGCAGAAGAAGCACCGGCUAACUCCGUGCCAGCAGCCGCGGUAAUUC
rnacentral:rRNA from 1 species